AGCGAACGCUGGCGGCAGGCUUAACACAUGCAAGUCGAGCGGGCACUUUCGGGUGUCCGCGGCGGACGGGUGAGUAACGCGUGGGAACGUGCCCUCUGGUUCGGAAUAACUCAGGGAAACUUGAGCUAAUACCGGAUACGCCCUUUUGGGGAAAGGCUUGCUGCCGGAGGAUCGGCCCGCGUCUGAUUAGCUAGUUGGUGAGGUAACGGCUCACCAAGGCGACGAUCAGUAGCUGGUCUGAGAGGAUGAUCAGCCACACUGGGACUGAGACACGGCCCAGAAUCCUACGGGAGGGAGGAGUGGGGGAUAUUGGAAAAUGGGGGCAAGCCUGAUCCAGCCAUGCCGCGUGAGUGAUGAAGGCCUUAGGGUUGUAAAGCUCUUUUAUCCGGGACGAUAAUGACGGUACCGGAGGAAUAAGCCCCGGCUAACUUCGUG
rnacentral:rRNA from 1 species